UCAGAGACUUAAGCGGAUUCUCAAAUUUAGGGUUGCUUAUCAAUGAAAUACACUAUCAAAUCUCUCUCUAUUUCUAUCGCUUCUUCUCUUCUCAAUCUUUCACUUCUAAACAAUGUUAUGUUCUUUGUUGGGGAUUUGAACCUAGCAGCUUCUUCGUUUGUGUCUUUGGAGUUAUUUAAUCCAUCAUCUGUUGUUUUAGCGGUGAUUAGCAGGGAUAUAGAGUUCCUGAUUUGAGAUCUCGAUUAGCAGCAGCUCAAGACAUCUCCUUAGCUCAUGUUUAAGGAUGAUGGCGCUCCAAUUUAUUGAUCCCCUUUGGGUCGAUCUGAGUUUAUCUCACUUGAUUCGUGUUCCCAGAUCUAGCCUCUUAAGGACAGAGAUCGGUUUUCUCUGUUGUUGAUGUUCGAUUCGUCCUGCGGAGUUGCAAUCUUAUUGGUUCAAGUCAAGGAGAUUCUCGAUCUCAAGCUUGUUCGUCAAUCCUCUUGUUAGCGCCCUCUUCCGUUUUGAAAAGGGAAUGUAAAGGAUUUGGCCAUCACCAACAUCAGAGGAGGGAUGUUUGAUUGGGUACGCUCUCUAAAUCUUAACUUUUUUCUCUUAAGUGGCCACCCUUUUGUAAUCUCUAAAUUUUAAAACUUUUCUCUCAGUGAUUGGGUUUAAAUGGGAGUUUUGAAUCGCAUGUGUUGGUUGGUAUGGAGACGAGUAUGUAUUGAAUGCGUCUUUUACUUCAAAUUUUCCAAUUUAUAUCGUAUUUUGAAGAAUUGGGAUUGGGAAUGUUUUGCGAAUCAGGAGUUAUGUUAUAAAUUUUGGGUAUAGUUGCUUAAAUGGAGUUUUAUUUUGUGAAUUCAGAGAUCGUGACUGGGAAAAUAUGUUCAGUUUUCUGAUAUAUUCAAGAGAAGUGUUUACAAUGCUUUAAAUAGAUUACAAAAGAAUCUUUAAGAGGAUCCGAUAAAAUCAAAUCUACAACUAUAAAAAACUUGUGGAACAACCUUAACAACUUCUUGUUCCAAACUGCCUGCAUAUCUCGCUAAUACCCUCCCUCAAGUUGGAGCAUGGAGGUCUGUAAUGCCCAACUUGAAACAAAAACGAUAAAACUCUUGUCUUCCCAAUGGUUUAGUAAAAAUAUCAGCAAGCUGAGACUCACUCUUGACAUGUAGGAGACAAAUGUUUUUAGUUAUCACCUCUUCUCGGACAAAGUGGCAAUCGACCUCCACAUGUUUUGUGCGCUCAUGAAACACUGGGUUUGUUGCGAUAUGAAUGGCGGCUUUGCUAUCGCAGCGAACAUUCAUCGGUUGAUUGUGUUUGACUCCGAGCGCUGAAAGAAUUGUUUUUAACCAAAUCAAUUCUUGAGUCAAAUAUGCCAAUGCUCGGUAUUCUGCUUCUUCCGAGGAUCUACUCACUGUCUUUUGCUUUUUCGUCUUCCAUGAGAUAGGUGACCCUCCCAGCUAUAUGAAGUAUCCAGUUACGGAUUUUCUUGAUAGCCUGCAGCUUGCGUAGUCACUAUCACACCAUCCGGACAAUUGAAAAGGUGUGUCUGCUCGUAACAAUAUCCCCUGACCAGGAUUGUUUUUCAAAUAUCGAACCACCCGCAAGGCUGCUCCCCAAUGAUCUUCUCUCGGCUUUUGCAUAAACAGAGCAAGAAAGUGAAAAGAGAACGCUAAAUCGGGUCGAGUCACAGCCAAGUAUAUCAAUCUACCCACCAAUCUUCUAUAAGGUUCAGGGUUGUUUAAAAACGCGGACUUCGACAAUGACAAGUCAUUGUUUGUUUCCAAAGGAAACGCUACAGGUUUCGCACCAAGUAGUCCAACAUCUGAGAUAAUGUCCAAUGCGUACUUUCUUUAACAAAGAUACAUACCGGUAGAGUUUCUUGCUACUUCAAUUCCCAGGAAGUAUUUUAAUUGGCCUAAGUCCUUCAUGUGAAAGCACGACAACAAGUAAUCUUUAAAAUCAUUCAUGACCUUAAGUGAGAUCGUCGACAUACACUAAAACGUGAAGUGACUCUCCAUUUGCAUCCUUGGUGAACAAUGAAUAAUCAGAGAGAUUUUGCUCAAAUUCAAAUUUUUUAACGCCGUAGACAAUUUGGCAAACCAGGACCUCGGACUCUGCUUCAAUCCAUAAAUAGACUUUCGAAGUCUGCAUACCUUGUUCGGAUCGGUUGCUUUAAACCCUGAUGGUAGCUUCAUAUAAAUUUCUUCUUCAAGGUCGCCGUGAAGAAACACAUUGUAGACGUCCUUCUGGUGAACAUCCCACUUGUUCUUAACUGCCGUAUCUAAGAACAAUCUCACGGUUCCCAUUUUAGCUACCGGCGCAAAAGUUUAUCCAUAGUCUACUCCUUCAACUUGUUUGUUUCCAAGAGCAACCAGUUUGGCUUUAUGUCUCUCCAAGGUGCCAUCAGACUUGUAUUUGAUCUUGUAAACCCAUUUACAUCCUAUUGCCUUUUUCCCUUUAGGCAAAUCCUCUAUGGUCAACGAAUGAUUUCUUUCCUGAGAAUCAAUUUAUGAACCCAUUGCCCCUUUCAAUCUAUCGUCUUCCAUUGCCUUUUUAAACGAUUUUGCCUCUACGCCCUGAGUAAUUGCAACCAUGUAUGCUUUAUGUGACUCAGAGAAACGCUCACAGUCAACGUAAUUGGCAAUCAGAUACUCAGAUGUGGACUUGUUCUUCUUUGUUUUUGGAUUUCCAGUCUCAAUCACGAAUUCCUUCAAUUUUACUGAAUGUGUUCUCUGCCUCUUUCCUCGACCCAAUUGUUCAGUAGGAAACGAUUUCUUUGUUUGUACUUGCGGUGAUGUUAAUGGUGGAGGUCGUGACGUCGUCGAUCGUGGAAUCUCUGAGGAAGAAGAUGAUGGCAAGUUACGAAGAGGAACGUGACG